AUUGAACGCUGGCGGCAUGCCUUACACAUGCAAGUCGAACGGCAGCACGGGUGCUUGCACCUGGUGGCGAGUGGCGAACGGGUGGGUAAUAUAUCGGAACGUACCUUAUUGUGGGGGAUAACGCAGCGAAAGCUGUGCUAAUACCGCAUAAUCCCUAAGGGGGAAAGCGGGGGACCGUAAGGCCUCGCGCAAUUAGAGCGGCCGAUACCUGAUUAGCUAGUUGGUGAGGUAAAGGCUCACCAAGGCAACGAUCAGUAGCUGGUCUGAGAGGACGAUCAGCCCCACUGGGACUGAGACACGGCCCAGACUCCUACGGGAGGCAGCAGUGGGGAAUUUUGGAAAAUGGGGGCAACCCUGAUCCAGCAAUGCCGCGUGAGUGAAGAAGGCCUUCGGGUUGUAAAGCUCUUUUGUCAGGGAAGAAACAGCAGCUCUAACACAGUUUGCGAAUGACGGUACCUGAAGAAUAAGCACCGGCUAACUACGUGCCAGCCGCCGCUGUAA
rnacentral:rRNA from 1 species